AUUGAACGCUGGCGGCAUGCCUUACACAUGCAAGUCGAACGGCAGCACGGGAGCAAUCCUGGUGGCGAGUGGCGAACGGGUGAGUAAUAUAUCGGAACGUGCCCAGUCGUGGGGAUAACGUAGCGAAAGCUACGCUAAUACCGCAUACGAUCUAUGGAUGAAAGCGGGGGAUCGCAAGACCUCGCGCGAUUGGAGCGGCCGAUAUCAGAUUAGGUAGUUGGUGAGGUAAAGGCUCACCAAGCCGACGAUCUGUAGCUGGUCUGAGAGGACGACCAGCCACACUGGGACUGAGACACGGCCCAGACUCCUACGGGAGGCAGCAGUGGGAAUUUUGGACAAUGGGCGCAAGCCUGAUCCAGCAAUGCCGCGUGCAGGAUGAAGGCCUUCGGGUUGUAAC
rnacentral:rRNA from 1 species